rnacentral:rRNA from 1 species
UGCCAGCAGCCGCGGUAAUACGGAAGGUGCGAGCGUUAAUCGGAAUUACUGGGCGUAAAGCGCACGUAGGUGGCUUGGUAAGUCGGAUGUGAAAGCCCUGGACUCAACCUGGGAACUGCAUUCGAUACUGCCUCGCUAGAGUAUGGUAGAGGGUAGUGGAAUUCCGGGUGUAGCGGUGAAAUGCGUAGAUAUCGGAAGGAACACCGGUGGCGAAGGCGACUUCCUGGGCCAAUACUGACACUGAGGCGCGAAAGCGUGGGUAGCAAGCAGGAUUAGAUA